rnacentral:piRNA from 1 species
UAGUUUAUGCACUUCUUGUUUCUGUAAAUG